rnacentral:rRNA from 1 species
AUUGAACGCUGGCGGCAGGCUUAACACAUGCAAGUCGAGCGAGCGGCGGACGGGUGAGUAAUGUCUGGGAAACUGCCUGAUGGAGGGGGAUAACUACUGGAAACGGUAGCUAAUAACGCCUACCAUUAGAUGUGCCCAGAUGGGAUUAGCUAGUCGGUGGGGUAAUGGCUUACCUAGGCGACGAUCCCUAGCUGGUCUGAGAGGAUGACCAGCCAAACGGGAACUGAGACACGGUCCAGACUCCGACGGGAGGCAGCGGGGGGGAAUAUGGCACAAUGGGCGCAAGCCUGAUGCAGCCAUGCCGCGUGGGUGAAGAAGGCCUUCGGGUUGUAAAGCACUUUCAGCGAGGAGGCGUUACUCGCAGAAGAAGCACCGGCUAACUCCGUGCCAGCCGCCGCGGUAAUAC